GAAACCACAUUGAAAACAGUAAAUCAGUCUCCAAUACCGCCACUCUUCAGUUUGCCUGAAACACAGAUGCGGUUUACGAACUCUACCAGAGAGGCCUUGAACAUCAAAAACAUCAAGCCAUUGUUAAGUACCUUCAGCCAGGUACCUGCCAGUGAAAAAAAAAAAAAAAAAAAAAAAAAAAAAAGUGCCCUUGAUUAAGCUUUCAGAGUUUUUCUAGAAAAAGAAACUAUAAAUCAUUCAUCAUAUGAAAACAUUUUAGCUAUCAUUUCUCUUGCUAUUGGGUGAGUAACUGAAGCUUAAUGGUGAAGAAAACAGGCUGUAGAGCCAGACUGCCUGGGUAUUUGUACCACAUCUACACCUUUUGUAUUGUUGGGAGAUGUUUUGGAUUGUCUUCCUUUGGAUCAGUGUGAUAUAAUAUUUAUUUCUGUGGAAAAAAAAUGUUGCUACUUGGAAAUCAAAUACAUUUUAUUCUGCUGGGAAAAAUUACUUACUACAUAUGUGCAAUGAUCUCCUAAGAAGAUGAUCUAAAUCCCAGAAUACGGUCUUCUGUGGACCAAUUCAGCUCUUUUUGGCUAGGCUUUUCCCGCUAUCUCAGAAAUCAGGUCUUAACUUGCAGAGUCAGUUUAAUCUGGAAAAUGUCAUUGUUUUCAAUACCAAUGAGCAGGAAAGCACCCUGGGUCAGAAGCACACUGAAGAUAGAGAAGAAGGAAUGGAUGUAGAAGAAGGUGAAAUGGGAGAUGAGGAAGCUCCAACAACGUGCUCUAUUCCAGUUGAUUACAACCUGUAUCCAAAAUUCUGGUCACUUCGAGAUUACUUCAGGAACCUUGUGCAAUGCUAUGAGAAGAUUUCAUGGAAAACUUUUCUCAAUUAUUCUGAAGAAGUUUUAGUUGUUUUUAACAGUUACAAAUUAGAUGAUACUCAGUCCUCAAGAAAAAAGAUGGAAGAAUUGAAAACAGGAGGAGAGCCUGUAUAUUUUGCAAAAUUUUUAACAAGUGAAAAGCUGAUGGAUUUACAACCGAGUGACAGUAACUUUGGUUGACACAACCUGUUGCAGUAUCUCAUUUUAUUCCUAUAUCUCAAAGGGCAGGUCAAAUUCAAAAGUUCAAACUAUGUUUUAACUGAUGAACAAUGACUUUGGAUUGAAGAUACUACAAAAUCAGUUUAUCAACUACUAUCUGAAAACUCCCUGAUGGAGAAAGAUUUUCAGAAAUGGUAGAGCAUAUAAUAAACACUGAAGAAAGCUGGAAUUCAUGGAAAAAUGAAGGUUGCCCAAAUUUUGUGAAAGAAAGAAAAUCGGAUACAAACCUAUGAGAAUAAUUCAAAAAAGAACAACACCUGAGGACUUCCUAGGAAAAGGAGCCAGCAAAAAAAUUCUGAUGGGAAAUGAGGAGUUAAUAAGGCUUUGGAAUCUUUGUCCUGAUAAUUUGGAAGCCUGUAAAUCAGAGACAAGGGAAUAUACACCCACUUUGGAGGAAUUCUUUGAAGAAGCCAUUGAACAGGCAGACCCUGAAAAUGUGGUUGAAAAUGAAUAUAAGGCUGUGAACAAUUCAAAUUAUGGUCGGAGAGCCCUGAGACUAUUAGCACGGAGAAGUCCUCACUUCUUCCAACCAACCAACCAGCAGUUUAAAAGUUUGCCAGAAUACCUUGAAAAUAUGGUAAUAAAGCUAGCCAAGGAAUCACUGCCUCCUUCUGAAGAAAUAAAAACAGGUGAGGAUGAAGAUGAGGAAGAUAAUGAUGCUUUACUGAAGGAAAAUGAAAAUCCUGAUGUUUGGGGAGACAAACCUGUAACAGGGGAACAAAUAGAAGUAUUUGCCAACAAGCUGGGUGAACAAUGGAAGACUCUGGCUCCCUACUUGGAAAUGAAAGACUCAGAAAUUAGGCAGAUUGAGUGUGACAGUGAAGACAUAAAUAUGAGAGCUAAACAGCUCCUGGUUGCCUGGCAAGAGCAAGAGGGAGUUCAUGCGACGCCUGAGAAUCUGAUUAAUGCACUGAAUAAGUCUGGAUUAAGUGACCUUUAAGAAAGUCUAACUAAUGACAAUGAGACAAAUAGUUAGAUUCUUUUUUUUUCUUUUUAUUAAAACUGUGAUAAGAUUUUGUUACCAAGCAGCAUUUGAUAAGAGGUCCAUUGGUUUUAGUAAACAAUAAACAUUUGUAUAACAA